UAAACUAGGAUUAGAUACCCUAUUAUUUAAAGUGUAAAUUUAAAUACUUGAGUAUUAUUAGUUAUGUGCUUAAAAUUUAAAGAAUUUGGCGGUACUUUAGUCUUUUCAGAGGAACCUGUCCUAUAAUUGAUAUUCCACGAUUAAUUUGACUUAUUUUAUUAGUUUAUAUAUCGUCGUAGUUUGAAUGUUUUAAAAGAAUUUUAAAUGUUCUUAAUUUAAUAUAAUAAAAGAAAUCAGAUCAAGGUGUAGCUUAUAGGUAAGUAGAGAUGGGUUACAGUUAAUUUAUUAUUGGUAAGAUUAAUGAAUAUUGAUUUUUAAAUUGGAUUUGAAUGUAAUAUAAUUUAUUUUAAUUAUAUGAUUAAAGCUCUAUAGUAUGUACAUAUUGCCCGUCGCUCCUUUUUAAAGAAGGAUAAGUCGUAACAAAGUAGUUGUACUGGAAAGUGUAUCUAGAUUGGCAGAUUAUAGCUUAUUUAAAGUAUUUUAUUUACAUUAAAAUGUUAAUUGUGAGAUUCAAUUUAAUUUGAAAAAUAAAAUUUUAUUUAAAAUUUUUAAUAAAAUAUUAUUUAUUUUUAGUAUAUUUUAGAAUAUAAAUUAUUUAAUUAUAGUGAAAUUGUUCAGUGAUGUUUUAAUUUAAUAUUUUUUAUUUUUUUAUAAGAAAAAUUUUUAUUUUGUACCUUGUGUAUCAGGGUUUAUUAAAAAUAUUUUAUAAAUUUAAUUUUCUCGAAUUUUUAAGGGUUAAUAAAUUAUUAAUUUGAUUGUAAUAUUAAUUUUUUUAAGAAUUUAUUAGUAAUGAAAUGUUAUUCGUUUAAUAAUAUAUCUAGUUUUUUAAGAAAUAAAUUUAAUUUAUUUAUUUAAUUAAUAUAAUUUUAUUUAUAGGGAAUUAUAUUUUAAAUAUUAAAUAUUUUAUGGGAUAAGCUUUAAAAUAGAGAAUUAAAAAUGAUUAUUAUAUUUAAUAAUUAUAGAAUUAGAAGUUUUUAUUUAUGAUUAUUUUAUAAUAAAUUUUAUUUUGAAUAUAAUUUAUAUUAAUUUUAAAUUUUUUAUUAAAAUUAUUUAUUGAAUAAUAUAAUAUAUGUAAUAAUGAUAUAAUUAGUAUAUUAGAUUUAUUUAAUUAUAAAUUUAUUUUUUGAUAUUAAUUUAAGGAAUUCGGCAAAUUUAAUUUUUCGCCUGUUUAAUAAAAACAUGUCUUUUUGAUUAUAAUUUAAAGUCUGACCUGCUCAAUGAGUAGUUAAAUAGCCGCAGUAUUUUGACUGUGCAAAGGUAGCAUAAUAAUUAGUUUUUUAAUUGAAAGCUGGAAUGAAUGGUUGGACGAGAAAAUUACUGUCUUAAUUUUAAUUUAUUAGAAUUUUAUAUUUAAGUAAGAAAGCUUAAAUUUUUUUAAAAGACGAGAAGACCCUAUAGAGUUUUAUAUAAUUUAUAUUAUUAAAUUUUUAGUUGAAGUUAUUUAAUAAUAUAAAUUAUAUUUUGUUGGGGCGAUGGAAAAAUUUAUUAAACUUUUUUUUAUUUUUAUUAUUGAUUUAUAUUUAAUUGAUCCAAUUUUUUUGAUUAUAAGAUGUAAUUACCUUAGGGAUAACAGCGUAAUUUAUUUUUAGAGUUCUUAUCGAAAUAUAAGUUUGCGACCUCGAUGUUGGAUUAAAAUUAAUUGUUGGUGUAGAAGCUAAUAAAUUGGGUGUGUUCGACCUUUAAAAUUUUACAUGAUCUGAGUUCAAACCGGAGAAU
rnacentral:rRNA from 1 species